rnacentral:rRNA from 1 species
UACAGAGGGUGCGAGCGUUGUCCGGAAUCACUGGGCGUAAAGGGCGCGUAGGUGGCGCCGCAAGUCCAUGGUGAAAGCUCGAUGCUCAACAUCGAGUCGGCCACGGAGACUGCGGGGCUCGAGCACUGUAGGGGCAGAUGGAAUUCCGGGUGUAGCGGUGGAAUGCGUAGAGAUCCGGAAGAACACCGGUGGCGAAGGCGGUCUGCUGGGCAGUAACUGACGCUGAGGAGCGAAAGCGUGGGUAGCGAACAGG